rnacentral:lncRNA from 1 species
CCAAACUAAGUUUCCUGGAUUUGGACUGUUAUGGAUGAUGAUAAUGAUCAUGGAUAUGGAAUGACAACUCUAAAGUGCUCCUAGUCUGGCCCAGAGGAUGGGAGGUGUUCUAGGGUGUUACAUGUUGGACAAGAAAGAAACUGCUGAGCCACCUGGAAAUGAUUCUGGACAUAUGGUAUAAACUUGAUGCAAAUUUUCUGAACAUCUAUUACCACAAGGAAUGACCAAUAGUGUUAAUAUUUUUUUGUCUUAAACCCAAUCCUACAUCAUUAAUUGUGUGAAAUAAAGCCACCAUAGAAACUCCCAUAUCAUAGAGUAUCAUGGGGACUUAAUUUUUUCUAAUUACUGAUGUGAUAUGUGUGGGGUUCAGAGAUUUUGAAAAAUAUAGCCAAUAUGUAAAAGGAGCCAUUGCUAAAAUUUGGUUAUAGAGUUUCUAAGAUUUUGUUCUUUGUUUAUAUGUACAGAUUUUAAGCAAAUGUAGAAACAUAUUGCUUUGUUACUUUUUCUUUAACAUAAUAAUACUGUAUAUUGACCAGUGUUUUCUGUG